rnacentral:lncRNA from 1 species
UCCUCCAAUGCAGCCUGCUCUUCCAGCUCUCCCUCCUAUCCCUGCUACAGAGGUUGUUAUUUCGAACCCUGAAUUACCUCAAGGGGCUUCCAAGCAAUGGCAUCCGGUUACCUCCACGCCUCUCACUACUGAUUUAGUUCCUGCAGCAGCAAAGAUGAAAAACACUCAGACUUUUCCAGUGGAUACUCAACAGCAGAAGAGGCCGAAGAUUCCACGGCCAAUGCCACAUGGGGGUUCCAGUAAAAAAACCAAAAGAUACACACCAUAUGAACUCAAAGUUCCAUACUCAACAGAUCUUGAUGAGUCCCUUCUUCUUGAUACUCCGGUUGUGGAGGCAGAUAUCCCUGAUCCUUGGGCUUUGGCGGCUGGCCCUCAACAGCCACCGUGUUCCAAAUGAAGCUCCUCAGUUGGAAUUGUCAGGGGUUGGGCAAUCCCCUGACAAUUCAA